AUGAUUCACAAGUCGAAAGCGGUGAUUCUAAAAUUAGACUUUGAGAAGGCCUAUGAUUCCGUGAGUUGGCAUUUUCUUCGUAGAGUUUUAUUGGCCAAAGGGUUCGAGGGGCCCCUCGUCCAUAGGAUUCUGCAGCUGGUCUCGGGAGGCCACACUGCCAUCAACGUUAAUGGUCAGGUUAGCAAAUUCUUUGCCAACGGUAGGGGCCUGAGGCAAGGCGAUCCAACCUCUCCCAUUUUAUUCAAUUUUGUUGCAGAUGCUUUAUCUCGCCUACUCUCUAGGGCAGCCACUAGUGGGCACAUCACUCCGGUGUGUUCUAAUCUCAUUCCCCAUGGUCUCACCCAUCUCCAAUAUGUGGACGACACUAUUAUUCUGGUCGAGUUGAAUGAGGCCUGCCUUACCCACCUCAAAUUUAUUUUACUAUGCUUCGAGGCUAUGUCGGGGCUUAAGAUUAACUUUUCCAAGAGCGAAGUAGUUGUGACUGGUGUGGACGAAUCGGAAGCCGCGCGAGUGGCCCACCUUCUUAACUGUAAGCAGGGCUCUUAUCCGUUUAAGUACUUGGGUUUGCCUAUUUCCCCGGAUGUGCUCCAUGGCAAAGAUUUUGCCCCGGUAGUCACUAAGGUGGGAAACAGGGUCCUCCCCUGGCGGGGUAGAUAUAAUACGAAUGUUGGUAAAGUGGCUCUAAUUAAUGCUUGCCUCUCCUCCCUCCCCAUGUUCCUUAUGGGCUUCUUUCUCUUGUCGGCUGGGAUUCAUGCUGGUUUUGACAAACACCGUGGGGCGUUUUACUGGAAUGCUGCGGACAAUCGUCGCAAAUAUCGCUUCGUCAAAUGGAAAUUGAUGUGCCGACCCAAAAACCUUGGGGGGUUAGGAAUUCUUAAUACUUCCAUCAUGAAUCAAUGCUUGAUGAUUAAAUGGUGGUGGAAGAUUAUGAGCGCUGAGGAUCAACCCCUUUGGCUGUCGAUCCUUAAGGCUAAAUAUUUCCCGUCCUCGAGCCCGAUGUUUGCUCUGCCGCGUGGUGGCUCUCAGUUUUGGAAGUCUCUGGUCAAAGUUAGACUUGUUUUUCAAUCUUUCGUUAAGUUUGUUGUUGGGGACGGUUCCUCGAUUCGGUUUUGGCUUGAUUGGUGGUGUGGAGAUUCACCUCUCUCGGUGACCUUCCCUACCCUUUUCUCUUACUGCUGUGAUCCUAAUAUUUCUAUUGCGAAGCUUGCAUCCUAG
rnacentral:rRNA from 1 species